GGAAGAUGCUGCCUAGUGGAGGGCAACUUGUCCUGAAAACAAGAGCAGGGUAAUACCUGGGGGUUCGAUUCCUCCAUCUUCCU
rnacentral:tRNA from 1 species